UCUACGAUUAUAUCCAUUAACGAUAGAGGGAAACACCUUCCUCUCUAUAAAUAUCAAACUCUUGUUUGAAAGUGAGCAUAUAAUUUCAAAGCUUGUCGACUAUCUGUUCUAAGUGACGAUGAGUUCCGUUCCUGGAGGUCGAGUGCCGGUUGAUCCAAAUGACCCACACGUGCGAGAUAUUGGAGAAUGGGCAGUGAAGGAACACAACAAAAGUGGGGAUUCACUAAAGUUUCUUGAAGUGGUAAGUGGGUCGAAGCAAAUAGUGUCUGGAGUGUUGUACACGCUUGUGAUGUUGGUUGAUGUUGGUGCAAAUUAUCCUCGAAAAUAUGAGGCUAAGGUGUGGGAGCAACCAUGGGUGGUGCCUCCUCGGAAGCUCGAGUCUUUCCACGUUCUUCUCCAGGAGUGAGAUGUUUAUGUUACAAUCUCGGUCGUGUAUCAAAAUCCAUAUCUAUAAUGGAACAAUAAAAUAAAACUUCUUAUCAAUCCUUA